rnacentral:rRNA from 1 species
GGAGCUUGCUCUGGUGGCGAGUGGCGAACGGGUGAGUAAUAUAUCGGAACGUACCCUGGAGUGGGGGAUAACGUAGCGAAAGUUACGCUAAUACCGCAUACGAUCUAAGGAUGAAAGUGGGGGAUCGCAAGACCUCAUGCUCGUGGAGCGGCCGAUAUCUGAUUAGCUAGUUGGUAGGGUAAAAGCCUACCAAGGCAUCGAUCAGUAGCUGGUCUGAGAGGACGACCAGCCACACUGGAACUGAGACACGGUCCAGACUCCUACGGGAGGCAGCAGUGGGGAAUUUUGGACAAUGGGCGAAAGCCUGAUCCAGCAAUGCCGCGUGAGUGAAGAAGGCCUUCGGGUUGUAAAGCUCUUUUGUCAGGGAAGAAACGGUGAGAGCUAAUAUCCCUUGCUAAUGACGGUACCUGAAGAAUAAGCACCGGCUAACUACGUGCCAGCAGCCCGCGGUAAUACGUAGGGUGCAAGCGUUAAUCGGAAUUACUGGGC